UGAUACAGGGAGGUAGUGACAAGAAAUAACACAGAGAGUGCACACUGCAUUUCUCUUUGGAAUGAGUAGAAUUUAAAUCUCUUUUCGACUAUCAAUUGGAGGGCAAGUCUGGUGCCAGCAGCCGCGGUAAUUCCAGCUCCAAUAGCGUAUAUUAAAGUUGUUGCGGUUAAAAAGCUCGUAGUUGGAUUUCUGUCGAGAACGCGCGGUCCACGCUUUGCGUGAGUAUCUGUGUCGGUCUUGGCAUCCUCUAAAGGAUCGUUUCUGCGCUUGAUUGCGUGGAGCGGAACUUUAGACUUUUACUUUGAGGAAAUUAGAGUGUUCACGGCAGGCAAACGCCUUGAAUACAUUAGCAUGGAAUAAUAACAUAGGACCUUCGUUCUAUUUUGUUGGUUUCUAGGACUUAGGUAAUGAUUAAUAGGGACAAUUGGGGGCAUUCGUAUUAACGCGUCAGAGGUGGAAUUCUUGGAUUGCGUUACGACGAACUACUGCGAAAGCAUUUGCCAAAGAUGUUUUCAUUGAUCAAGAACGAAAGUAUGGGGAUCGAAGACGCUUAGAUACCGUCGUAGUCUAUACCAUAAACUAUGCCAACUAGGGAUGUGACGGGUACUCUUUUAUGGCUCGUUGCGCACCUUAUGAGAAAUCAAAGUUUUUGGGUUCCGGGGGGAGUAUUGUCGCAAGGCCGAAACUUAAAGGAAUUGACGGAAGGGCACCACCAGGAGUGGAGCCUG
rnacentral:rRNA from 1 species